GGGGGCGGGUUUUUCUCGUGCAUUCUCGUGAUAGUGAAUAAGCUUCAUGAAAUCUGAUGGUUUUAAAAACAGGAGCUUCCCUCUUCUCUUUGCCUGCUGCCAUCCAUGUUAGUAAGAUAUGACUUGCUCCUCCUUGGCUUCCACCAUGAUUGUGAGGCCUCACCAGCCAUUUGGAACUGUCCUCAUCAAGUGCAGAAUGAAGUGCAAUCUCCCUAGCACACACUCGAGAGUCUUCAGUCGUCUUACUCCUGCGCACUUCUUCAAUUUAAACCUCUACCAUGACUUUUCCCUUACUCCAUUCUCUUGGAACCCGAAACAUCUUCACCCAGACUAUGCUCUGUUGGCUUUGGGUAUUUUAUGUGUAUUUAGUAACCACUAUGCAGGAGAAGAAUUAGCAAAAGCAAUUACUAGAAUAUUUUAAUUACAAUCCUAUCAAAGACAAACUUUGGUUUAACUGCAGUAUGUUUUCUUAUUUGAAGUGCAAACAGACAAAGAGAGAAAAUUCAUGCUUGAAUUUUCACAGAUACAUUUGGAUUUCACAUUCUGUUUUUUAAAAGCAGAAAUGUGGACUGGUUGAUAGCAAUAAUUAGAGCACUGGGCUUUUAUAAGAUUUUUGUUUUCAGUUUUGAAUGUUAU
rnacentral:lncRNA from 10 species